AUUGAACGCUGGCGGCAUGCUUUACACAUGCAAGUCGAACGGUAACAGCACUUCGGUGGCUGACGAGUGGCGCACGGGUGAGUAAUACAUCGGAACGUGCCUAGUAGUGGGGGAUAACUACUCGGAAGAGUAGCUAAUACCGCAUGAGAUCUAAGGAUGAAAGCAGGGGACCUUCGGGCCUUGCGCUACUAGAGCGGCUGAUGGCAGAUUAGGUAGUUGGUGGGAUAAAAGCUUACCAAGCCGACGAUCUGUAGCUGGUCUGAGGGGACGACCAGCCACACUGGGACUGAGACACGGCCCAGACUCCUACGGGAGGCAGCAGUGGGGAAUUUUGGACAAUGGGCGCAAGCCUGAUCCAGCAAUGCCGCGUGCAGGAUGAAGGCCUUCGGGUUGUAAACUGCUUUUGUACGGAACGAAAAGCCCUCUUCUAAUACAGGAGGGUCAUGACGGUACCGUAAGAAUAAGCACCGGCUAACUACGUG
rnacentral:rRNA from 1 species